rnacentral:rRNA from 1 species
GUGGGGAAUAUUGGGCAAUGGGGGAAACCCUGACCCAGCGACGCCGCGUGAGGGAAGACGGCCUUCGGGUUGUAAACCUCUUUUGUACGGGAAGAAGGAAGUGACGGUACUGUACGAAUAAGUCCCGGCUAACUACGUGCCAGCAGCCGCGGUAAUACGUAGGGGACGAGCGUUGUCCGGAAUUACUGGGCGUAAAGGGCGCGCAGGCUGUGCUGCAAGUCAGCUGUGAAAUGUCUGGGCUUAACCCGGGCAUGCGGUUGAGACUGCAGUGCUGGAGUGCUGUAGAGGCAAGUGGAAUUCCCAGUGUAGCGGUGAAAUGCGUAGAUAUUGGGAAGAACACCGGUGGCGAAGGCGACUUGCUGGGCAGCAACUGACGCUGAGGCGCGAAAGCGUGGGGAGCAAACAGGAUUAGAAACCCUGGUAGUCC